UGCCCUGUACAGACGGAGUAACAUACCGAAAGGUAUGCUAAUACGAGAUAAAAUACUUUUAUCGCAUGGUAGAAGUAUCAAAGCUUUUGCGGUACAGGAUGGACCCGCGUCUGAUAGCUAGUUGGUAAGGUAACGGCUUACCAAGGCGACGAUCAGUAGCCGACCUGAGAGGGUGAUCGGCCACAUUGGAACUGAGACACGGUCCAAACUCCUACGGGAGGCAGCAGUGGGGAAUAUUGCACAAUGGGCGAAAGCCUGAUGCAGCAACGCCGCGUGAGCGAUGAAGGCCUUCGGGUCGUAAAGCUCUGUCCUCAAGGAAGAUAAUGACGGUACUUGAGGAGGAAGCCCCGGCUAACUACGUGCCAGCAGCCGCGGUAAUACGUAGGGGGCUAGCGUUAUCCGGAAUUACUGGGCGUAAAGGGUGCGUAGGUGGUUUCUUAAGUCAGAGGUGAAAGGCUACGGCUCAACCGUAGUAAGCCUUUGAAACUGGGGAACUUGAGUGCAGGAGAGGAGAGUGGAAUUCCUAGUGUAGCGGUGAAAUGCGUAGAUAUUAGGAGGAACACCAGUUGCGAAGGCGGCUCUCUGGACUGUAACUGACACUGAGGCACGAAAGCGUGGGGAGCAAACAGGAUUAGAUACCCUGGUAGUCCACGCCGUAAACGAUGAGUACUAGCUGUCGGAGGUUACCCCCUUCGGUGGCGCAGCUAACGCAUUAAGUACUCCGCCU
rnacentral:rRNA from 1 species